GGGAGGAGAGCGUUCUAAGGGCGUUGAAGCAUGAUCGUAAGGACAUGUGGAGCGCUUAGAUGUGAGAAUGCCGGUGUGAGUAGCGAAAGACGGGUGAGAAUCCCGUCCACCGUUUGACUAAGGUUUCCAGAGGAAGGCUCGUCCGCUCUGGGUUAGUCGGGUCCUAAGCUGAGGCCGACAGGCGUAGUCGAUGGAUAACAGGUUGAUAUUCCUGUACCACCUAUAAUCGUUUUAAUCGAUGGGGGGACGCAGUAGGA
rnacentral:rRNA from 1 species